rnacentral:rRNA from 1 species
GACUGCGUACCUUUUGUAUAAUGGGUCAGCGACUUAUAUUCUGUAGCAAGGUUAACCGAAUAGGGGAGCCGAAGGGAAACCGAGUCUUAACUGGGCGUUAAGUUGCAGGGUAUAGACCCGAAACCCGGUGAUCUAGCCAUGGGCAGGUUGAAGGUUGGGUAACACUAACUGGAGGACCGAACCGACUAAUGUUGAAAAAUUAGCGGAUGACUUGUGGCUGGGGGUGAAAGGCCAAUCAAACCGGGAGAUAGCUGGUUCUCCCCGAAAGCUAUUUAGGUAGCGCCUCGUGAAUUCAUCUCCGGGGGUAGAGCACUGUUUCGGCAAGGGGGUCAUCCCGACUUACCAACCCGAUGCAAACUGCGAAUACCGGAGAAUGUUAUCACGGGAGACACACGGCGGGUGCUAACGUCCGUCGUGAAGAGGGAAACAACCCAGACCGCCAGCUAAGGUCCCAAAGUCAUGGUUAAGUGGGAAACGAUGUGGGAAGGCCCAGACAGCCAGGAUGUUGGCUUAGAAGCAGCCAUCAUUUAAAGAAAGCGUAAUAGCUCACUGGUCGAGUCGGCCUGCGCGGAAGAUGUAACGGGGCUAAACCAUGCACCGAAGCUGCGGCAGCGA